rnacentral:rRNA from 1 species
AAAGUCGUAACAAGGUUUCCGUAGGUGAACCUGCGGAAGGACCAUUAAUGAAAUAAAUUCUGUCAAGUUGUUGCUGGUCUUUAGGGGCAAUGUGCACACUUGACUCAAUUUUACUUAACCACCUGUGCACUCUUUGUAGACUUGGGGAUUUUGUUACUCAAUUUUAAAAAUUGGAUUUGAGGAUUGAAAUGUCUUUCCUUUUAUUUUAAAUUCCCAAGUCUAUGUUUUUCAUAUACACUUUUGUUAAAACAAGUCAAAUGGAAAUGAUAAUAACUUUAAUACAACUUUCAACAACGGAUCUCUUGGCUCUCGCAUCGAUGAAGAACGCAGCGAAAUGCGAUAAGUAAUGUGAAUUGCAGAAUUCAGUGAAUCAUCGAAUCUUUGAACGCACCUUGCACUUCUUGGUAUUCCGAGGAGUAUGCCUGUUUGAGUGUCAUGUAAUUAUCAAUCCAUAAAUUCUUUGUUUAUGGAUUGGACUUGGGAUUUUGCUGGUUUUUAAUCACAAAAAAUCAGCUAUCCUUAAAUACAUUAGUAGGACCUUUCCGGGUCAUUAGAUUGGUGUGAUAAUUAUCUGCAUCAUGAUAAUGAUCCAACUUGAUGUCCAGCUUUCUAACAAAACCCAUAUUUUGAUAUAUUUGACCUCAAAUCAGGUAGGACUACCCGCUGAACUUAA